AGACAGCUGAGCAUCCUCCACGUGUUCCUUCUGCGAGGAUAAGUGCUUUUCUUAACUGAGUGCAUUUUUCUCCCAGCCCAUCCCUCCCACCUUGCCAUCUCUUCUCAUUGAACUUCCCAGUAAAUUAGCCUGUUGCUUUGACAACAGUUGGGACGCGAAGGUGGGGGAGGGCAAAUUGAAGGACUGGAAAAUACCGCAUCACUCUAGGGCAGGCCUGCUGCUGAGACCCAGACAGGAUGACAGCCAGGAGACGCCUGAAGACUGCAGUCAGCAACCGAGGGGUGUAUUAAAAACAGAGCUGCUUCCCAUGAAUGUGAUGGUUCCCAUUCAGAACUCUUACAACCUCGUCUUUGCGCUCUCAUCUUGACGGGAAAAAUAUCUUCCACGGUUUCAAGCCUCCUUAUGGCUAAAGCAGAGAUUGAUCACCCCUGGGAAGGAGAAGGUAGGUGCUGCCAAGAAUGGUGGUUUGCAAACCGAGAUGUCCUUUAGAACCUCCUGGGAAGCUUUAAAAAAUUGCCAGUGCCUG
ensembl:lncRNA